GCCGGGCGUGGUGGCGUGUGCCUGUAGUCCCAGCUGCUCGGGAGGCUGAGGCACAAGAAUCGCUCGAACCUGGGAAGUGGAGGUUGCAGUGAGGGGAGAUCGUGCCACUGCACUCCAGCCUGGGUGACGGAGUGAGACUCGUCUUAAAAAAACCAAUAAAUAUCUGCUAAGUGAAUCAAUGAGUCUGAAGACUGGAUAAUGGCCACUUGUCAUUUUUUUUUGAGAUGGAUUCUCACUCUGUCGCCCAGGCUGGAGUGCAGUGGUGCGAUUUCGGCUCACUGCAACCUCCACUUCC
rnacentral:lncRNA from 1 species